rnacentral:rRNA from 1 species
GAUGAACGCUGGCGGCGUGCCUAAUACAUGCAAGUCGAGCGAACGGACGAGAAGCUUGCUUUUCUGACGUUAGCGGCGGACGGGUGAGUAACACGUGGAUAACCUACCUAUAAGACUGGGAUAACUUCGGGAAACCGGAGCUAAUACCGGAUAAUAUUUUGAACCGCAUGGUUCAAUAGUGAAAGACGGUCUUGCUGUCACUUAUAGAUGGAUCCGCGCUGCAUUAGCUAGUUGGUAAGGUAACGGCUUACCAAGGCAACGAUGCAUAGCCGACCUGAGAGGGUGAUCGGCCACACUGGAACUGAGACACGGUCCAGACUCCUACGGGAGGCAGCAGUAGGGAAUCUUCCGCAAUGGGCGAAAGCCUGACGGAGCAACGCCGCGUGAGUGAUGAAGGUCUUCGGAUCGGAAAACUCUGUUAUUAGGGAAGAACAUAUGUGUAAGUAACUGUGCACAGCUUGACGGUACCUAAUCAGAAAGCCACGGCUAACUACGUG